AGGGGGCAAGCGUUAUCCGGAUUUACUGGGUGUAAAGGGAGCGUAGGCGGCACUGCAAGUCUGGAGUGAAAGCCCGGGGCUCAACCCCGGGACUGCUUUGGAAACUGUGGUGCUAGAGUGCAGGAGAGGAAAGUGGAAUUCCCAGUGUAGCGGUGAAAUGCGUAGAUAUUGGGAGGAACACCAGUGGCGAAGGCGACUUACUGGACUGAAACUGACGCUGAGGCUCGAAAGCGUGGGGAGC
rnacentral:rRNA from 1 species